rnacentral:rRNA from 1 species
CCUACGGGUGGCUGCAGUGGGGGAUAUUGCACAAUGGGGGAAACCCUGAUGCAGCGACGCCGCGUGAGUGAUGAAGUAUUUCGGUAUGUAAAGCUCUAUCAGCAGGGAAGAAAAUGACAGCACCUGACCAAGAAUGCCCGGCUAACUACGUGCCAGCAGCCGCGGUAAUACGUAGGCUGCCAGCGUUAUCCGGAUUUACUGGGUGUAAAGGGAGCGUAGACGGUUAUGUAAGUCAGGAGUGAAAGCCCGGGGCCCAACCCCGGGACUGCAUUGGAAACUGUGUAACUGGAGUACAGGAGGGGCAGGCGGAAUUCGUGGUGUAGCGGUGAAAUGCGUAGAUAUCAGGAGGAACACCGGCGGCGAAGGCAGCCUGCUAGACUGACACUGACGUUGAGGCUCGAAAGCGUGGGGAGCAAACAGGAUUAGAUACCCUAGUAGUC